CCUACGGGAGGCAGCAGUAGGGAAUCUUGUGCAAUGGGCGAAAGCCUGACACAGCAACUCCGCGUGCGGGAAGAAGGCCUUAGGGUUGUAAACCGCUUUUGGCAGGAACGAAAAUGACGGUACCUGCAGAAUAAGGUGCGGCCAACUACGUGCCAGCAGCCGCGGUGACACGUAGGCACCAAGCGUUGUCCGGAUUUAUUGGGCGUAAAGAGCUCGUAGGCGGUUCAGUUAGUCGGGUGUGAAAACUCUGGGCUUAACCCGGAGACGCCACUCGAUACUGCUGGGCUAGAAUUCGGUAGGGGAGUGGGGAAUUCCUGGUGUAGCGGUGAAAUGCGCAGAUAUCAGGAGGAACACCGGUGGCGAAGGCGCCACUCUGGGCCGACAUUGACGCUGAGGAGCGAAAGCGUGGGUAGCAAACAGGAUUAGAUACCCUGGUAGUCCACGCCGUAAACGGUGGGCACUAGGUGUGGGUUCCAACCAACGGAAUCCGUGCCGUCGCAAACGCAUUAAGUGCCCCGCCUGGGGAGUACGGCCGCAAGGUUAAAACUCAAAUGAAUUGACGG
rnacentral:rRNA from 1 species